CCUACGGGAGGCUGCAGUGGGGAAUAUUGCACAAUGGGGGGAACCCUGAUGCAGCAACGCCGCGUGGGUGAAGAAGUACUCCGGUAUGUAAAGCCCUGUCAGCAGGGAAGAAAAUGACGGGACCUGACCAAGAAGCCCCGGCUAACUACGUGCCAGCAGCCGCGGUAAUAAGUAGGGGGCACGCGUUAUCCGGAUUUACUGGGUGUAAAGGGAGCGUAGACGGGAAGGCAAGUCUGGAGUGAAAGCCCGGGGCCCAACCACGGGACUGCUUUGGAAAAUGUGUUGCUGGAGUGCAGGAGGGGUAAGCGGAAUUCCUAGUGGAGCGGUGAAAUGCGUAGAGAUUAGGAGGAACACCGGUGGCGAAGGCGGCUUACGGGACUGUAACUGACGUUGAGGCUCGAAGGCGUGGGGAGCAAACAGGAUUAGAUACCCGGGUAGUC
rnacentral:rRNA from 1 species